rnacentral:lncRNA from 1 species
CCAAAUAUGUCACUCCUUUGCUGAACAAGAAACUAAUCAAACCUGGAGAUGUUUGUUACAAAGAUGGUCCUAUAAAUGAAGCACCUGAUUUGCCACAUCAAGGCUCUUCGUAAGCUUUAGAAUUUUGAAUUGUUAUUCCUUAUUACGAUGAAUGCAAUUUGAUUUAUGCAUUAAUUAAAUAUUUCAGGGUGGACUGCGCAUUGUUUGUUAUCAAAUUCAUGGAGCACGCAAUUUCUGAAUGUGAAAUAUUUUCGUUAGACUAUGGAGUGGAAACAAUAGACUUGAUGAGGGGUACAAUAGCAUAUGAACUACUGACUGAACCGGGACUAAGUUUUGACAAGGACGUAUGGGAUAAGCAACAAUUUCUAGUUUCCAUUGAUGCAGCAGAAAAAAUGAUACUUGAAGAGAAAGAAAAGGAAAAGGCAGCAGCUCAAACAAUUAUAAAUUUGGGUGUUCAAAAGUCAGUAUAGUUGAAAAGGGAUUACCCCAAAUUCGAGGUCCUGAUUUUUUGUGUUUUGAAACUGUCAGUAGUAUAUGCUGUGAAUACGAACAAGUUUUCUAUAUUUCUGUUAUUUUGUAACAACUGAAUUCUCAUGGUUAUAUCAAUGGA